rnacentral:lncRNA from 1 species
UUUUCCUCCAUGGAGCAAAAACAGAAAGUGACCGUGUUCUCAUUGGAACCAAGCUGCUGUUCACAGCAUAGCUCCAGGGCUUGCUUCUUUUGCCACUGAACGUGUCAAUCUGUAAAACUGAAAGAAGAUCCCGGCUAGGAGCCACGACUGCAAUCAGGAGAAAGAGAAGGAGGCUAGAGGAACUCUAGCCUCGAGUCACAGGCUUCUGUUUUUGGAGCUUGGAAGGAAGGACUGCCCCUGGACUAAGGUGCCGGGUAGGGAAGCGGCCCCAGGGUAACUUUAUCCCUGUAAUCACCACCAGAGGGGGCAGUCGCUCCACAUCGGUGGUCUUUGCCCUGCAGAGAAGGUGCCCCGCACCUAAGCCACGGGAGAGACCCUCUAAGGCUCUAAGGGUCCUUUCAGCGCUCCUCUGCCCCUGCCUGCUGCCUGCAUUUACUGAGCAAAUGUCGCUCUCCGAUAAGGAAGGCGCUGCAGGCCUCAUCUGAUCCCUGGCAGCUGGCUGUUUUCCCCCACUCUUAAACAGCUCCAGAAAUAAACUCCAGCACCUUACUUGGCUGUGUCACAGGCUCCCAGUGUGGGCUGCUGGCUGCCCACAGCCACUGAGACAGGAGCCAGGUGGGGGCAAGUAAAUUCCCUCAGGUGAGGCAGCUGUGCUCGAGCCCCGUGGAGGAAGCUGGCUUCCUCCUUCUGCCCGGGGUCGGGGCAGACAUCUGCUUCCACUCUCUGACCACCACACAGACCAGGCCUGAGAGCAUCAGCUGGACCCCUGGCCUGAGAACCUGAAGGCCGCCUCUUGGGCUCCUUGCUCUAAGAGGCACCCUCUGUGGGGGGAAGUUAGGGGUCAUGAGACAACCCCAUUUAGCAUUGACUCCCACCCCUCCUUGCCUGUGUCUCUGCUUCAUUCCAUCUGGUGUCCUCAGAGGAAAGGCUAAUUAAAUUGAAAAGGGCUGGCCUAUUUCUGGUGUUUUGCAGCUAAGACCUGGAGGAAUAGCCACAAAGUUUGGACGGAACUGCAGGGAGACUGAAGCGCUCUGGGGUUGGCUGGUUAUUCUAGGAUUGGCAGGCCCCAGUUCUAGUUCUGGUUCAGGUUCCAUCCCAUUCCCUGGGUCAUAAGAUCUGAGGUUGCGGUCAAGUCUGAAAGAAG